rnacentral:rRNA from 1 species
GAUGAACGCUGGCGGCGUGCCUAAUACAUGCAAGUAGAACGCAGUUGCGCACGGGUGAGUAAUGCGUAGGUAACUGCCUCAUAGCGGGGGAUAACUCUUGGAAACGAUAGCUAAUACUGCAUACUGUGAGAUGUACCCGCGUGGCAUUAGUUAGUUGGUGAGGUAAAGGCUCACCAAGGCGUCGGUACAUAGCCGACCUGAGAGGGUGAUCGGGUACAGUGGAACUGAGACGCGGCCCAGACGCCUGCGGGAGGCAGCAGUAAGGAAUCUUCGGCAAUGGAGGGGAAUCUGACCAAGCGACGCCGCGUAAGUGAAGAGGGUUUACGGAUCGUAAAACUCUAUUGUUAGAGGAGCGGUAACUAACCAAAAAGGAACGGCUAACUACGUGCCAGCAGCCGCGGUAAUUC